rnacentral:rRNA from 1 species
UACAGAGACUGCAAGCGUUAUUCGGAUUCACUGGGCGUAAAGGGUGCGCAGGCGGCUGAGCAAGUCGAGUGUGAAAUCCCCGGGCUUAACUUGGGAAUUGCGCUCGAAACUACUUGGCUCGAGUGUGGCAGAGGAAGGUGGAAUUCCCGGUGUAGUGGUGAAAUGCGUAGAUAUCGGGAGGAACACCAGUGGCGAAGGCGACUACCUGGCCUGUUCUUGACGCUGAGGCGCGAAAGCUAGGGGAGCAAACGGG